GGUAGUCUGCCACCUUUUCCUCUCCAGCCCUGUGUUCUCUGUUGUGUUCCCCUUCCUGGUGUGUCUUGUGGGUCCCCUACUUGUCUUUGGAUAUGUGUGUGUGUAUGUGUGUAUGUUUCCUGCCUGGCUCUAGGAACCUCCCACCUGUGGCUGAUCACCAGCACACCUGUCUCCUAUCUACUCAUCAGUCUUCACAGCUUAUAUACCAGGCUUUUCCACUACUCCGACGCCAGAUCGUCCCCGUACAUUGCAUUACCCGGUGCUGGUGAUCGCCGCUCCUGUGGUUUCCUGGAUUCCUGUCUGCCUGUCUGCCUGCUUCUCCAGCCAGCUUCACCUUGCCUGUCGUCAUCUGUUUACACUGCUCAUUCACCAUUCGACUUUAUUACGAAUAAAGUGUGUUUUGGAUUACA